rnacentral:rRNA from 1 species
CCUGGCUCAGGAUGAACGCUGGCGGUCUGCUUAACACAUGCAAGUCGAACGCAACCUUCGGGUUGAGUGGCGGACGGGUGAGUAACGCGUGAGAAUCUGCCUUGGGGUCGGGGACAACCACUGGAAACGGUGGCUAAUACCGGAUAAGCCUUUGGGUAAAAGAUUUAUUGCCCCAAGAGGAGCUCGCGUCUGAUUAGCUAGUUGGUGAGGUAAAAGCUCACCAAGGCAGCGAUCAGUAGCUGGUCUGAGAGGACGAUCAGCCACACUGGGACUGAGACACGGCCCAGACUCCUACGGGAGGCAGCAGUGGGGAAUUUUCCGCAAUGGGCGAAAGCCUGACGGAGCAAGACCGCGUGAGGGAGGAAGGCUCUUGGGUUGUAAACCUCUUUUCUCAGGGAAGAAGCUCUGACGGUACCUGAGGAAUCAGCCUCGGCUAACUCCGUGCCAGCAGCCGCGGUAAUACGGAGGAGGCAAGCGUUAUCCGGAAUUAUUGGGCGUAAAGCGUCCGCAGGUGGCGAUUCAAGUCUGCUGUCAAAGCACGGGGCUUAACUCCGUUAAGGCAGUGGAAACUGAAUAGCUAGAGUGCCGUAGGGGUAGAGGGAAUUCCCGGUGUAGCGGUGAAAUGCGUAGAGAUCGGGAAGAACAUCGGUGGCGAAAGCGCUCUACUGGACGGCAACUGACACUCAGGGACGAAAGCUAGGGGAGCGAAUGGGAUUAGAUACCCCAGUAGUCCUAGCUGUAAACGAUGGAUACUAGGUGUAGCUUGUAUCGACCCGAGCUGUGCCGAAGCUAACGCGUUAAGUAUCCCGCCUGGGGAGUACGCACGCAAGUGUGAAACUCACAGGAAUUGACGGGGGCCCGCACAAGCGGUGGAGUAUGUGGUUUAAUUCGAUGCAACG